rnacentral:rRNA from 1 species
UGUCCAGUGCUCUACAUGUCAAAGGAUGGUCAAGUGAUUCAGACAAGAGCGAGUGGACCGCGGGAGUAACUAUGACUCAUUUCAGGUCUCCGAAUGCCUCGUCAUCUGAGUCGUGGCGCGCGUAAAUAGAUU